AGUAGAAUUGCUGGAUUGUGUGAUAACUGUUUAAUUGUAGGAGGAACUACACGAUUGUUUUACAAAGUAGCUGUACCAUUUUACAUUCCUACCACCGAU
rnacentral:pre_miRNA from 1 species